rnacentral:rRNA from 1 species
GUAACGAUGGCCACGCUGUCUCCACCCGAGACUCAGUGAAAUCGAAAUCGCUGUGAAGAUGCAGUGUACCCGCGGCUAGACGGAAAGACCCCGUGAACCUUUACUACAGCUUUACGCUGGUUUUUGAGCAUUCUUGUGUAGGAUAGGUGGGAGGCUUUGAAGCGUAGGCGCUAGCUUGCGUGGAGCCAACCUUGAAAUACCACCCUGGAAUGCUUGGAAAUCUAACCUAGGUCCGUUAUCCGGAUCGGAGACAGCGUAUGGUGGGUAGUUUGACUGGGGCGGUCUCCUCCCAAAGAGUAACGGAGGAGUGCGAAGGUGACCUCAGCGCGGUCGGAAAUCGCGCAAUGAGUGCAAAGGCAUAAGGUCGCUUAACUGCGAGACAGACACGUCGAGCAGGUGCGAAAGCAGGUCUUAGUGAUCCGGUGGUUCUGUAUGGAAGGGCCAUCGCUCAACGGAUAAAAGGUACGCCGGGGAUAACAGGCUGAUGAUGCCCAAGAGUCCAUAUCGACGGCAUUGUUUGGCACCUCGAUGUCGGCUC